rnacentral:rRNA from 1 species
AUUCCAGCUCCAAUAGCGUAUAUUAAAGUUGUUGCAGUUAAAAAGCUCGUAGUUGGAUUUCAGUCUUAGUUCGUCUGGCCCGCUCCCUUGAGGAGCCGAGUGCCGGUUGCGAGCUGGACUUCCUUCUAGCAUGGAACCUCUACCGUUAUGCGGCCGGGGGGGACAUCUGGAUCAUUUACUUUGAAGAAAUUAGAGUGUUCAAAGCAAGCUUACGCUGUGAAUAUAUUAGCAUGGAAUAAUAACAUAGGACUCGGGUUCUACUUUGUUGGUUUCUAGGACUCAAGUAAUGAUUGAUAGGGACAGUUGGGGGUGCUGCUAUUAUAUGGCCAGAGGUGAAAUUCACGGAUUCAUAUAAGAGCAACUUAUGCGAAAGCAUUCACCAAGGAUGUCUUCAUCG